rnacentral:rRNA from 1 species
AAUGAACGUUGGCGGCGUGGAUUAGGCAUGCAAGUCGAGCGAGAACCCCGCAAGGGGGGACAGCGGCGCAAGGGACAGUAAUGUGUAGAUCAUCUGCCCUCAGGUCCGGGAUAGCUGCGGGAAACUGCAGGUAAUACCGGAUAACAUCCCCGGAUCAAAGUUGCGAUUCCGCCUGAGGAUGAGUCUGCAUCCUAUUAGAUAGUUGGAAGGGUAACGGCCUACGAAGGCAUUGAUGGGUAGCGGGUGUGAGAGCACGACCCGCGUCAUUGGGACUGAGACACUGCCCAGACACCUACGGGUGGCUGCAGUAGAGAAUCUUCGGCAAUGGGCGCAAGCCUGACCGAGCGACGCCGCGUGUGGGAUGAAGGCCUUCGGGUUGUAAACCACUGUCAGAGGGGAUGAAAUGCAGGUGGGUUCUCCCAUCUGUUUGACAUAGCCUCAGAGGAAGGACGGGCUAAGUUCGUGCCAGCCGCCGCAGUAA